GACGAACGCUGGCGGCGUGCUUAACACAUGCAAGUCGAACGGAAAGGCCCUGCUUUUGUGGGGUGCUCGAGUGGCGAACGGGUGAGUAACACGUGAGUAACCUGCCCUUGACUUUGGGAUAACUUCAGGAAACUGGGGCUAAUACCGGAUAGGAGCUCCUGCUGCAUGGUGGGGGUUGGAAAGUUUCGGCGGUUGGGGAUGGACUCGCGGCUUAUCAGCUUGUUGGUGGGGUAGUGGCUUACCAAGGCUUUGACGGGUAGCCGGCCUGUGAGGGUGACCGGCCACAUUGGGACUGAGGUACGGCCCAGACUCCUACGGGAGGCAGCAGGGGGGAAUAUUGCACAAUGGGCGGAAGUCUGAGGCAGCAACGCCGCGUGCGGGAUGACGGCCUUCGGGUUGUAAACCGCUUUCGCCUGUGACGAAGCGUGAGUGACGGUAAUGGGUAAAGAAGCACCGGCUAACUACGUG
rnacentral:rRNA from 1 species